CCAAGGCGACGACGGGUAGCCGGCUUGAGAGGGUGACCGGCCACACUGGGACUGAGACACGGCCCAGACUCCUACGGGAGGCAGCAGUGGGGAAUAUUGCACAAUGGGCGAAAGCCUGAUGCAGCGACGCCGCGUGAGGGAUGACGGCCUUCGGGUUGUAAACCUCUUUUAGCAGGGAAGAAGCGAAAGUGACGGUACCUGCAGAAGAAGCGCCGGCUAACUACGUGCCAGCAGCCGCGGUAAUACGUAGGGCAGCAAGCGUUAUCCGGAAUUAUUGGGCGUAAAGAGCUUGUAGGCGGUUUGUCGCGUCUGCUGUGAAAGCCCGGGGCUCAACCCCGGGUCUGCAGUGGGUACGGGCAGACUAGAGUGCAGUAGGGGAGACUGGAAUUCCUGGUGUAGCGGUGAAAUGCGCAGAUAUCAGGAGGAACACCGAUGGCGAAGGCAGGUCUCUGGGCUGUAACUGACGCUGAGGAGCGAAAGCAUGGGGAGCGAACAGGAUUAGAUACCCUGGUAGUCCAUGCCGUAAACGUUGGGCACUAGGUGUGGGGGACAUUCCACGUUUUCCGCGCCGUAGCUAACGCAUUAAGUGCCCUGCCUGGGGCAGUACGGCGCAAAGGUUCCA
rnacentral:rRNA from 1 species